AUUGAACGCUGGCGGCAGGCCUAACACAUGCAAGUCGAACGGUAACAGGAAGACUCUUGCUUCUUUGCUGACGAGUGGCGGGCGGGUGAGUAAUGUCUGGGAAACUGCCUGAUGGAGGGGGAUAACUACUGGAAACGGUAGCUAAUACCGCAUAACGUCGCAAGACCAAAGAGGGGGACCUUCGGGCCCCUUGCCAUCGGGUGUGCCCAGAUGGGAUUAGCUAGCAGGUGGGGUAACGGCUCACCUAGGCGACGAUCCCUAGCUGGUCUGAGAGGAUGACCAGCCACACUGGAACUGAGACACGGUCCAGACUCCUACGGGAGGCAGCAGUGGGGAAUAUUGCACAAUGGGCGCAAGCCUGAUGCAGCCAUGCCGCGUGUAUGAAGAAGGCCUUCGGGUUGUAAAGUGCUUUCAGCGGCGAGGAAGGGAGUAAAGUUAAUACCUUUGCUCAUUGACGUUACCCGCAGAAGAAGCACCGGCUAACUCCGUG
rnacentral:rRNA from 1 species